rnacentral:rRNA from 1 species
UGGAUGCACUUAGUGGCGGACGGGUGAGUAACGCGUGGGUACCUGCCUCACACUGGGGGAUAACAGUUAGAAAUAGCUGCUAAUACCGCAUAAGUCCGCAUGGAAAAAACUCCGGUGGUGUGAGAUGGACCCGCGUCUGAUUAGCCAGUUGGCGGGGUAACGGCCCACCAAAGCGACGAUCAGUAGCCGGCCUGAGAGGGUGGACGGCCACAUUGGGACUGAGACACGGCCCAAACUCCUACGGGAGGCAGCAGUGGGGAAUAUUGCACAAUGGGGGAAACCCUGAUGCAGCGACGCCGCGUGAGUGAAGAAGUAUUUCGGUAUGUAAAGCUCUAUCAGCAGGGAAGAAGUGACGGUACCUGAAUAAGAAGCCCCGGCUAACUACGUGCCAGCAGCCGCGGUAAUACGUAGGGGGCAAGCGUUAUCCGGAUUUACUGAGUGUAAAGGGAGCGUAGACGGCAAGGCAAGUCUGAAGUGAAAGCCCGGUGCUUAACGCCGGGACUGCUUUGGAAACUGUUUAGCUGGAGUGCCGGAGAGGUAAGCGGAAUUCCUAGUGUAGCGGUGAAAUGCGUAGAUAUUAGGAAGAACACCAGUGGCGAAGGCGGCUUACUGGACGGUAACUGA